GGCAUCCUGGGUCUUUUGUGCAGGGACCACUUCCCAGGCCUGGUCCACUAUCAAGGACGGUACGAGCCGCCCUGGACGUGGGACCACUACAUCGCCGCCAACAACGAUCAGUUGGAUCGGAGCGGCAGAGCCUUUGAGAACAAGGCGGAGCGGGUAAAGGCCGAGCUCUGGGAUUUUUACAGGUGUGACGAGGGAUACGAGGAGCGGGCGGCGAUUGUGGCUCACAAUCGAUGCGUUAAACUCGUGAAGGACAUGCAUUAUGAGGCGCAAGUCCAGUGUGUCAUCAACUAUUGUGCACAUUUCCUAAAGCAGAAGAUCGGGAAGACUGAGGCGAGGGAUUUGAAGCUGACCUGAGAGCAAUAUUUACAGGUUCCUACGUGGUGGUGUCGUAAUGACACCGUGUGCUGGGAGCGCAUAGUGGACAAGUGGUUCGACCCCGAGUGGCAGGCUU